GCAAGUCGAGGGGUAGCAGGGUAGCAAUACCGCUGACGACCGGCGCACGGGUGAGUAACACGUAUCCAACCUUCCCAUCACUCGGGGAUAGCCUUUCGAAAGAAAGAUUAAUACCCGAUAGUACUUUUUUGAGGCAUCUUGAGAAAGUUAAAGAUUUAUUGGUGAUGGAUGGGGAUGCGUUCCAUUAGAUUGUUGGUGAGGUAACGGCUCACCAAGUCUUCGAUGGAUAGGGGUUCUGAGAGGAAGGUCCCCCACAUUGGUACUGAGACACGGACCAAACUCCUACGGGAGGCAGCAGUGAGGAAUAUUGGUCAAUGGGCGAGAGCCUGAACCAGCCAAGUAGCGUGAAGGAUGACGG
rnacentral:rRNA from 1 species